rnacentral:rRNA from 1 species
UACGUAGGGUCCGAGCGUUGUCCGGAGUUACCGGGCGUAAAGCGCGCGCAGGCGGCGGUGUUGGCCCGGCGUGAAAGCCCACGGCUCAACCGUGGAAGCGCAUCCGAAACGGCCUCGCUCGAGUCUCGGAGAGGAAGGUGGAAUGCUUGGUGUAGAGGUGAAAUUCGUAGAUAUCAAGCAGAACACCUGCGGCGAAGGCGGCCUUCUGGACGAUGACUGACGCUGAGACGCGAAAGCGUGGGGAGCAAACAGG